rnacentral:rRNA from 1 species
UACGUAGGGACCGAGCGUUGUCCGGAAUCAUUGGGCGUAAAGAGCGUGUAGGCGGCCAACUAAGUCCUGCGUGAAAUCUCGGGGCUCAACCCCGAGCGGUCGUGGGAAACUGGUUGGCUAGAGUGCGGGAGAGGAGAGUGGAAUUCCUGGUGUAGCGGUGAAAUGCGCAGAUAUCAGGAGGAACACCUAAGGCGAAGGCAGCUCGCUGGAACGGUACUGACGCUGAGGCGCGAAAGCGUGGGGAGCAAACAGG